GAGGAGGGGAAAGCGGCUGUGUGGGCUUUCAUCUGGAAUGAAGGACAGCCUCAGCAGCCAUCAGAGCUGGAAACAGGGAGGAGCUUCCUCCUUCAACUCCGGUUAAUGUAGCAUCCAGCAUUCGGAUGUAAUUGGCCAUGAAGGGAACCUCAGACCUUAAGGCUGCAUUCGACUCCAUCUCUCAAGUCAUGCUUUGGGAAAAGCUUGAAUCCUCCUCUGUCAAUCAACACCUGAUGUAUCUGAUCCGCGCCCUUCACACAGACACAUCACUUAAGAUGGUUCUUCUCAUGAGGAAGAUGAGGAAGACAAUGGGAGCAAAUCUUCACACCUGGGGAAGGGGCUGAGCCCUAC